CAACAUUCAUAUGCUUAUACAAUAUGUGAAUCAAUCAGAGUCACUAUCUUGAUCAUUUUCCGAUUUGUUGGGAGACAAAUGGUUCUCCAAAGAAAGUACAUGUACAGACAACAUGAAAAUUGCACAAUCCGUUAUCAAACUCGUGUCACAGAAGUGGUAAAGGACAUGUGCGACAACUGAAUGGUAUCCUUUUGUAAAGGUUUUGGCCAGGGGUGGGUAUUUAUGUUUUAAUUUAUAUUUGAGGUUGGGUAAUCAAAUUUUUGACUUUUUAAUGGUUGGGUCAGCAAAGUUUUUGCCACGAAAACAUUUCUCUUCGGUGCCACCCCCCACCAUAAAUAAUGACCGCUCCCUUAUUUCGAUAUAUUUAACAGAGUUGAACCUAGAUUGGCGUGUUUUUAAACUGGACAGGAGACUGCAGACAACACAUCAAGGAACGAAACACGCGUUGUCCACACAACGCAAAAUUCCGAUUGGUUGAUAUAGUUGAUUGACAGGUCUUUUUUUGAAUUUUGAAAAAGUUAACAGCUGUGGAUUGAGAAAGAUAAAACUACUUGAAAAAUACAAGCUGGAAUUCGAGCAAAGGCUCCUCGAGCAAAGGCCCCUCGAAAAAUACAAGCAAAGGCCCCUCGUCGGGAAGUUAAAUGGUUCUCUGUCACAAGCAAGGCAGAAAAAAAAUUUUAAAAAAAGAAAAUCAAUAUUGUCGGGAAAAAAUCAAUAUUGGGGAAAAAAAUAUUGAUUUAUAAAAAUAAAAAUAAAAAAAAAUAUUGAUUUUAUAAAAAUAAAAAUAUUAUAAUAUUUAUAAAAAUAAUGAUUUUUAAAUAUUUAUUAUCGGAAGAAAAUCAAUAUUGGGGGGGGAGCUCAAGAAUAAUUCUGAAUUUCUUCCGCACUUUUCUAGUUCUUUUGUGUGUUUUGCUUAUACUAAUGGAAAUUAUUGGGGGGGGAGCUCCAGCCCAGCCCCCCCCCCCGCUUCCGACGGCCUUGGUCACAAGAUUUCCUGCAUUGUAAGUGAUGUUAUAAAAUGUAUAUUUUUAUCAUAUUAUGACAAG